AGUGAACGCUGGCGGUAGGCGUAACACAUGCAAGUCGAACGGCAGCACAGGAGAGCUUGCUCUCUGGGUGGCGAGUGGCGGACGGGUGAGGAAUACAUCGGAAUCUACUCUGUCGUGGGGGAUAACGUAGGGAAACUUACGCUAAUACCGCAUACGACCUACGGGUGAAAGCAGGGGAUCUUCGGACCUUGCGCGAUUGAAUGAGCCGGUGUCGGAUUAGCUAGUUGGCGGGGUAAAGGCCCACCAAGGCGACGAUCCGUAUCUGGUCUGAGAGGAUGAUCAGCCACACUGGAACUAUGACACGAUGGAGACUCCGACGGGAGGCAGCAUUGGGGCAUGUUGGACAAUGGGCCCAAGCCUGAUCCAGCCAUGCCGCGUGGGUGAAGAAGGGCUUCGGGUUGUAAAGCCCUUUUGUUGGGAAAGAAAUCCAGCUGGCUAAUACCCGGUUGGGAUGACGGUACCCAAAGAAUAAGCACCGGCUAACUUCGUGCCAGCAGCCGCCGUAA
rnacentral:rRNA from 1 species